UGGCGAAAGAGUCAAGAAAAGUUGCCAUACAGAUGUCACGUAAACCUCAUCAUCAGAUAAUCUUAUUUAUGUUUAGUUCCUGAAAUCAAGCAACGUAAUUUAUGUUAAAUCGAUGGUGUCACUGAAUCUUUUAAAAUCAAGUAAUCCUUUGUUGUCAACUCAUAUUUGCAAAGAUCCAUUAAUUGCAAGACAAUAAGAUGCUCGAUAUUGUUUUCUGUUUAUUGUUAUAGAGAGCUUAAACCAACAUCUGAGGAUUUCUGGUUAAUUAUAAGCAUAUUAGUAAGGUCCAGUGUAUGAAAUUAAACUCGUGAUCUGAAUACACGUGCAUGAGUCCCCAGGUAAAAGGAUAUAU